UCGGCCCUGAAUCAAGACCAGCAGUGUGCUGAAGCUGUUGGUUUCAAGCAGGAGCCUAAAGAAAUGUCUUUCUAUGGUCUGUUGGCCAUUUUAAAACUUUGGAACAUGUAAUGGCCAAUUCAUUGGAAAGAAACACCA